UUCUCGUUACACCAACCCUGC
rnacentral:siRNA from 1 species